rnacentral:rRNA from 1 species
AUUGAACGCUGGCGGCAGGCCUAACACAUGCAAGUCGAGCGGAGCGGCGGACGGGUGAGUAAUGCCUCGGAAUCUGCCUGGUAGCGGGGGAUAACGUCCGGAAACGGGCGCUAAUACCGCAUACUAUCAGAUGAGCCUAGGUCGGAUUAGCUAGUUGGUGGGGUAAAGGCCUACCAAGGCGACGAUCCGUAACUGGUCUGAGAGGAUGAUCAGUCACAUUGGAACAGAGACACGGUCCAGACUCCUACGGGCGGCAGCAGUGGGGAAUCUUGGACAAUGGGCGAAAGCCUGAUCCAGCCAUUCCGCGUGUGUGACGAAGGUCUUCGGGUUGUAAAGCACUUUUAGUUGGGAGGCGUUACCAGCAGAAUAAGCACCCGCUAACUUCGUGCCAGCAGCCGCGGUAAUAC